rnacentral:lncRNA from 11 species
UGGAUGUUGAUGAAUUUUCCAAAAAUGGAUGGGAAUGAGAUUCUUUCCCAUGUGCAUUUAGCAAAAUCAACAGAACUAACCAACUGCUGUGGUCAAUUAUAAGAAGAGGGCAACAUUUAAACAAUUUGUCCCAGCUUUUCUGAACUGUAUACAUGGCAAGAUGGAUGUUAUUAUGGAUGUGAACAAUUUUCUGUGUUGAUUUCAUUGCAUCUCUGAAUCAGACCAGCAUUUCCGUGUUUUCUCUCAGUUUGCUUUUACUUGGAGUUCUGUGCAUUAUUCCCUGGGAUGAAUAUUAAUGUCUGUAUUUUUCUAAUGGUCUAAAACAUAUUUGUUUGCAUCCCCCCCACCACCACCACCACUACCAAUGGCACAACCUUUGUGUGGUGCAUUUCUUGAUUGAUGGUUCCCAGUACUACCAGUCCAAAAACACUGAAUCGAAUUCUGUUGGUUAUUAACCAGCUAGAGUAUACCAAUUGAAUGAUGUGAAUCUCAUUGAUUCAAUGUUAAUCGAGUUAAGACUAACAAUAGAAUUUAAGCCAUUGCGUGGCAAUGCUGCCUUUCCCUCUUUCAUGUGCUUUAAAAAUGAUGGGAAAUGAUCAGAAAAUAUGGACAACAUAUAGAAAUACUCUUGAGCUGUAGCCUUGGCAACAAAGUGAAACAAACAGACAGUGAGUCCUUGGUGUCCACCUAGGUUUAGUUCCAACCCCACCAUCCCAUACAUCCCCUGCGGCUGUCAAAAUCCAUGAAUGCUC